rnacentral:rRNA from 1 species
CCUACGGGGGGCAGCAGUGAGGAAUAUUGGUCAAUGGACGAGAGUCUGAACCAGCCAAGUAGCGUGAAGGAUGACUGCCCUAUGGGUUGUAAACUUCUUUUAUAUGGGAAUAAAACGUUCCACGUGUGGGAUUUUGUAUGUACCAUAUGAAUAAGGAUCGGCUAACUCCGUGCCAGCAGCCGCAGUAAUACGGAGGAUCCGAGCGUUAUCCGGAUUUAUUGGGUUUAAAGGGAGCGUAGGUGGAUUGUUAAGUCAGUUGUGAAAGUUUGCGGCUCAACCGUAAAAUUGCAGUUGAAACUGGCAGUCUUGAGUACAGUAGAGGUGGGCGGAAUUCGUGGUGUAGCGGUGAAAUGCUUAGAUAUCACGAAGAACUCCGAUUGCGAAGGCAGUUCACUGGACUGCAACUGACACUGAGGCUCGAAAGUGUGGGUAUCAAACAGGAUUAGAUACCCUAGUAGUC